rnacentral:misc_RNA from 1 species
CGCACAUUGCGCCCUUUGGUAUUCCGAGGGGCACGCCUGUUCGAGCGUCAUUUAAAUAAUCAAGCCUAGCUUGGUAUUGGACCCGGUCGAGUGACCCGUCCGUAACUCGUUGGCGGUACAGUCUGGCUUCAAGCGUAGCAAAAUUUUCGCUUCAGAAGUCCGUACGGUACCCGCCAGAUAAUGGCCACCUUUUAAAGUUUGACCUCGGAUCAGGUGGGGAUACCCGCUGAACUUAA